rnacentral:rRNA from 1 species
GCAUAUCAAUAAGCGGAGGAAAAGAAACUAACAAGGAUUCCCUUAGUAACUGCGAGUGAAGAGGGAAGAGCUCAAAUUUGAAAUCUGGCAGUGUUGUAUUGCCCGAAUUGUAAUCUAGAGAAGUGUAACCUGUGCUGGACCAUGUACAAGUCUCCUGGAAUGGAGCAUCAUAGAGGGUGAGAAUCCUGUCUUUGACAUGGACUACCAGUGCAAUGUGGUGUGCUCUCAAAGAGUCGAGUUGUUUGGGAAUGCAGCUCUAAAUGGGUGGUAAACUCCAUCUAAAGCUAAAUAUUGGCAAGAGACCGAUAGCGAACAAGUACCGUGAGGGAAAGAUGAAAAGAACUUUGGAAAGAGAGUUAAACAGUAUGUGAAAUUGUUGAAAGGGAAACACUUAAAGUCAGUGAUGUCGGCCAGGGAUCAAGCCAGCAUUUUGCUGGGUGUACUUCCUGAUCUGACAGGUCAACAUGAGUUUUGACUGCUGGAAAAGGACAGGGGGAAUGUGGCACCUUCGGGUGUGUUAUAGCUCUCUGUCAGAUGCAGUGGUUGGGACUGAGGAAGGCAGCACGCCAUUUGGCCGAGUCGUUUCGACUACGUUCGUGCUGAGGAUGUUGGCAUAAUGGCUUUAAUUGACCCGUCUUGAAACACGGACC